GAGCCAUUAUAUGCAAAGAAGUGAGCAUUACUGAGAGAUGAGAUAAUACGGGAGAAUACAGAACGUUUUCACGAGCAGAUACGCGGAGAGAAAGUAGCAAAAAGCCUAGUUAGACAAAUGAAAAUGAAAGAAACAUUAAUACGAAUGGAACCCUGUUGGGAACCCGAAGAAAUGGCUAUCUUUUGAGCAUGAAGAAACAAACGCAACAAAUGUACUAACACAAAGCUUAAAUAAAGCUCACACCACCACCAACAGUUGGCAGCAGAACUGCACAAGUGAAGAAAACCACCAAAAGGCUUACCCAAAUGGAAGAUAGAAGCAGAAUGACAUCUUGCACGCUUGUGGUUUGUUCUAAACGGGUAGUGCUACUCUUGCUCUCGCCAUUAAUCAGCAAGAAGGAUGCAGGGAGCAGGAUAGAGCUUAAAAAUAGGACAUUCAAUGACAGCGGCGCAGCAAAACAACCGGAAAGACAUCGCUUAUAAUCGAAACCUGACCUCUUUUUAGUGUUUCGUCGAUCUAUUUUUGAACUACAAGGUGCACCCUGGCGUGAUUAAAUAAUCCUGACCAUGUGGCUAGGUGGUAAUAGUUCCGAUUUUCGGACACUGGCUAAAAGCACUCAAAUCGACAUUUGUGCUGACCUAUUGAUGGGCAGACAAUAAGUGUGCUGCAGUAAAAAAUUAAAAUUAAACCAGCUGAAGGAUCAUCACAACCUCCCGUACGCCUGAGCGCGUUACUGCUUCCUGACAUUGAACAAAUGUGCCAUUCCCGCACAUUAGUGACGUAAUAGGGAAAGCAAUGGUGCUAGUAGUUCGAUUGGACUGUGAAGUGUCUUCCAUCGAGGCGAUUGGUGCCGGACCAAGGCGUUUCUGUUUACGAGACGAUGGAGACGACGAUGCUACAUUCAUUGCGUUUUGAAAUACACCCUUGGCGUUCGUCUAGUGCUAGCAGCAAGGAAGGAGGAACUCGAAAGGCUGGAAGAGUGGAUUUGGAGCAAGAGCUGGGGUAUGGAAAACGGCAGAGGAACUCUAGAUGUGGCUGCCCGCUUGGAGUGCGAUGAAAACGAUAAGGACGAUAAGCUACGACGGCAGUGUCGGCAUGAUGCAAUGGUUCACCUCCAUCAUAUAUUGAUCCAUUCAUCAAAUUCCGAUAGCUUCCGG